ACUCCUCUGGGAGAUGAGGACACACCCACAUCUGUUCCAUACUGCAGCCAUGGAUGGUGUUACGGCUCUGAGUCAGCUUUGGGCCAUCAGACGCACACACUGGAAAACCAGCGCCUGUACUUCAUGCACGAGAGACGGCCUCAGUGAUAAUUCAUCAGCAGCUGUGAAGAGAUGUAUUUGAAUAUCUUCUGGUUCCACUUUUCUUAACCUGGAAGCUGAGGAUGGCUGAUUCCUGACAAGGACACACACCUCAGCGCUUAUCAUGGGUGUUACAUCCUCUGUGCCGCAAUUCCAGAGAAAACGAGAGAGCAACAACCACUCAUUAAGACCAGCCAGAAAUCUGUCACUUUCUGGCAGCUGUGAAAACUUCCAAUAAGAAAGUUUGCAUUCUUAGAACAAUGCUGGGUCAUGUGUGAUGUGUCAUUAUAUGAGGAUAAUUACAUUUUGACUUAAUUCUGCUCAAUUAAGUGUUUUGUUCGUUGAUCCAAUAUGGCAGCUUUUUAUUGUGCUCCAAGUUAAAACUCAUUGUCCUCAUGAGCACAGCAUCUAACAACUCUCCUUAAAAAAGUCGAUUGACUUUAACUGGACACAAUGGUUUCCAGUGGGAGAUACAUUCAUCACUCAUCCGUGACACUGGAGAAGUCACCUGGAUGAGUGAUAAAACAAUUUUCCAUGGAAAAUCCAGAGGAACUAAACUUUGUUGUUGUUUCUUUGGGCUCAAUUUCAGCUCUAGCAGCAUCUCUCAGAAGAAAACCGUUUUGCAAAUAAUCAGAUAAAAAGAUUGUUGAACUAGGUGGUAUUCUCUGGAGUUUAAGACCAAAACUGAACUCAAACAGUGAAUUGACAUUAGACUGGAAUUCAUAAGAUGAAUAGAAAUACUGCUGAAGCUGAAUGAUUCAUUCAUGUAUAUAUAUGACUUUUUUUUUUCCCCAAUUCACCAGGUCUGUAAAGUUCAGUAUGACUGUGGUACAUGAUACAAAAGAAUAAAUACAGAAGAAUAAAAACUUUG
ensembl:lncRNA